rfam:Triticum aestivum genome assembly, contig: Triticum_aestivum_CS42_TGACv1_scaffold_220666_3B
CAAGUACUCCCUCUGUUCGGAAUUACUUGUCAUCAAAAUGGAUGUGUCUAGAACUAAAAUACAUCUAUAUACAUCAAUUUCAAUGACAAGUAUUUCCGGACGGAGGGAGUACAAG